GGGAUUCUUGUUUUAAUUUUGUCUGCUUCCUUUUGUGGUGGAAUGAUAAAAGAGCACCAGGUGCGCAUUGUUAUUUGGUCCUCUUCCUCUCGACCCUUUGCUUGCACUUUCAACUAGCACAAAAAAAUAUCUCAAUAUUCGAUCUGUUUAUGUACAACUUAUAAUAUUUAUAUGUGCAUACAUAUAUUUUGUCGUCCUUGUUUUCUUUGAAAACUAGCUAGCACUAGAAAUCUGUCAUGUAAUCAAGAUUGAAUCUUGUUACAUAUAAUACAAUAAAAUCGAUAAGCAACUUAAGUGCGUAUGAGAAAUACUAGGAAAAUGUUAGGUAAAUCAUAUUUUAUAUACCAUUUUGUGAAUUGGCGAGUUAAAAAGUGGUAUAUAAAAUACAACCUCUUUAAUAUGACUCGAAAUACUAAAUAGGUGUCGGUGGACUAAUUGUUUAUUAGUUUUAUAAUAUACUAGCCCCUUGACACAUGCUCACGCAUGUGCCAAUUGGUUUUCUUUUUCUUUUUUAUUUUUAUUUUUAGAAUUAAAAAAAAAUAACAGGGUAGUUAUGUUCCAUAAAAGUAGGACCUAUUAUCUUAUUUUGUUUUUAAUUUUAAUUUUUUUAAUAUUAAAAAAUAUGAAUUUACGAUAUUAUCCUCAUUUAAUUAAUAAUUUCAAUUCUUAAUGUUUGAAUUAACAAAGGGCAUUUUCUGGUAUUUUGAAUGUUUCACCAUUCUCUGCCUUUUGCUUUAUAUAUAUAGAUUACGUCCUUUUCGGAUACAAAUACUUAUGGUUAUUGAGUAUAAUCUCUCAAAUCAAUCAAUCAGCAAGCAUUUUUUUUUUUUCCAUGCCAUCACACACUUUACUUAAGGGUUUAUACGUAGGUUUAUAUACAUCAAUUAAUUUAGGAUACAUCAAUGAAUGUCAGAAACUAAAGGUUUUGUGUAAAUAAUCUACAAUUACAAUCGUAAACUUACAUACAGAUAUGCAUAAGUGAAUAUAAGAAACAUGAACAAGCUAGAUUAAAUAUAAGACAUCAUAAUUAAUUAACAAAUUGAUGCAUGCAAGAGGACGUUCUUACAAGUACAAUAUAUACUUACUUUAUCCCAAUACGUGCUAAUCGUUUUGGUUCUUGUGAAUUUUGUCACGUAUCCUUUUGAUAAAAUCUUCAGCUUUCUCAUCCACAUCCACCACAGGAGAUUCACCCUUACUAUUCUUCUCUGUAAUUGGUACUUGCAUCACCACGUCUACUUUGGUCAUUUUACGAUCAUGAGCAGGCUCAAGUGAUCUGACGGACGACGUUGCUCCAAAAUUGAUUUUAGCCAGAGACAGAGAUGAAAGUUUGAUGACGUUUGCCACCAACACCAUUGAUUUCUCACAUAGAGAGCAUUGUCCACCCUUGUGUUUCAUGGCUUCCUGAUCGAUGAGCUACUUCGUUUUCCUAAGCUAAAAUUGCAGCAAAGAAAUAACAACGAAAUAUAGUGUUUUUAAAUGGUUAUGAACUUAUGAUGAUCAGCUUAUAAUCGAUACUCCAUAUAUAUAAACAAAAUAAAUAUAACGGAAACGUAACUGAAAAAAAGAAAAAGGAAGCAAAGUCAAAUUGUUCUGUUCUCUUCUGUGGGGUUCCUGAUCAAACUAGAUGAUGAUGGACACUAUCUAUUUGUAUUGCAAAUUGCAACGAGAAGGAAAGAAGAAGAGUGGAUUAUCAAUACUUUAUAAUACUUUAUUUCCAUUUUGAAUAUCCUUCGGAAAAGGUGGCAAAGGAGAACUAGAUUCUGACAUUUUAUGUGUGUGUGCU
rnacentral:lncRNA from 1 species